CCUACGGGAGGCAGCAGUGGGGAAUCUUGCGCAAUGGGCGAAAGCCUGACGCAGCAACGCCGCGUGCGGGAAGAAGGCUUUCGGGCUGUAAACCGCUUUCAGCAGGAACGAAAAUGACGGUACCUGCAGAAGAAGGAGCGGCCAACUAUGUGCCAGCAGCCGCGGUGAUACAUAGGCUUCAAGCGUUGUCCGGAUUUAUUGGGCGUAAAGAGUUCGUAGGCGGUCGAGUAAGUCGGGUGUGAAAAUUCUGGGCUCAACCCCAGAGACGCCACCCGAUACUGCUUAACUUGAGUUCGAUAGGGGAGUGGGGAAUUCCUAGUGUAGCGGUGAAAUGCGCAGAUAUUAGGAGGAACACCGGUGGCGAAGGCGCCACUCUGGAUCGAUACUGACGCUGAGGAACGAAAGCAUGGGUAGCAAACAGGAUUAGAUACCCUGGUAGUCCAUGCCGUAAACGGUGGGCACUAGGUGUGGGAUUCUAUUAACGAAUUCCGCGCCGUCGCUAACGCAUAAGUGCCCCGCCUCGGGGAGUACGGUCGCGAAGACUAAAACUACAAAUAAGAAAUUGACGG
rnacentral:rRNA from 1 species